UAUGCUUUUGGAAUUGUGCUCUUGGAAACUCUCUGUGGACGAAAGAAUUUGGACUGGUCCCAAACUGAUGAAGAAGAUGUCCAUUUGCUAACUGUUUUUACGAGAAAAGCAGAACAAGAGCAGCUCACAGAUAUGGUUGACAGAAACGAGGAUAUGCAGCUCCACAGAGAAGCAGUGACAGAAAUGAUGAGCCUUGCUGCGUGGUGUCUACAGGGCGAUUUCUCCAAGAGGCCUUCCAUGUCAUUGGUGGUUAAGGCACUCGAAGGUUUGGUGACUGUUGAAACCAACUUAGAUUAUAAUUUCAGAAAUGUACCUAAGGUUGGGGCAGGCAACCAACCGAGGGAAGCCGCUAUCAGCUCAAAAUUGCCAUCAGUUUUAUCGGGACCGAGGUAAACAGUAUGUCUAAUUCUAGCACAAAUUCUUACGGUGUAUUAGAUUACAAUUCAUGAAUGUAAUAUUCAGUAACUUUGCAUUAGAUUUUUUGAGUUUCAUGUAAUUAUCAUGUAGAAGCUCCUCAAUUCAUAUGUGACAGGAGAUAUAAUAUUGCAUUAGCUUUUCCUCAUUUUUUGUAAGGGAAGUAUCAAGACUCGAGAACAGCAUGAAUCGGAUAUCGAGGGCCAGAUGCUCUGCCAAUUACAGAAACAAAAAAUUAUCUUAAACAUGAUUGUAUGGUAUUCAUACUGUUAAAAUAAAUUCAGUUUAAAUUGGGAAAAGACUCAAAUAUGUCACGGAACUAUUAAAAAUGUGCCAUAUAUUAAAAGCUGGCUCAUCUAUACAAAAAUACAUCUAGUUCAGCAAAACCAUUUUUGCCGCGUGCCCUCUUAUUAGAGGUUCACGUCAAGUAAUUAAAAAGACUCAAUAUUUAAUUAACACUCGACCUAUUUAAAUAAAACCCGACCCAUCUCCUAACCCAUUUCCCUUUAUCCAACCCACAUUAUGUACUUGCAAACAUUAAAAUCAUCAAAUUCCAAUAUUGAAAGUUAUAACUUGGAAAUGGUCAAAAUGGUCCCGUCAGUGGAAAGAUAGAGCCCAACCCCAUUAUUUUCCUAAAAAGUAUUUUCCUUCGUACCGACCACACAAACACACUCAUAGUCAAUUAAGUUUGGAAAAAAAUAGCACAUUGAAAAAGUUUUUUGAGGUCCCUCUGUAUAUUGACUGGGCAAAGAUUAAGAUAUUUUGUACAUUGGAACAUCAAUUUUGACUUGGACUUUGGAAUUUAGGGCACAUCCCAUUCAGUACAAGACUUGACAUGAAUCUUAAUGAGGAGGAAAGUGCUUAACAAUUCCAAAUUAAUUGUUAGUAACAAUUUGUAACAUUACUUGGAAUUAUAUGGAAUGUUGUAGACAUUCUGAAAUUGCACUUGUCUCGAGAUAUGACGAGGCACAAACACUGUCUUGCCAAUAUUAGUUAUUGGUAUUCUUGAAUUAUUUUCCAUCACCAUUACUCGAUCGCCUUUAUAUUUGUAAUUUGCUUAUGUUCAUCAAAUUUUUCUCGUCACUGGUCAUGUGAUUGGAACAUCCUGAAUCAACUACCUAUCAUUUUAAUAAUCACCAAGCUUUCGUUAUUUGAUCAGGCGCCCCUCCCUGUAUAUUUAGCGGUACUGCUCCACUACUUGCCGUACAGUUAGUGAAACAGGGCAGAAAAUGCUGAAAGAUGUGAUAAGUUUUUUUUUUUUUUUGAAUGGUGAGGGUCGGGUAUGGAGUGAGGUAAGGAAAAAAAUAUAAUUGGAGGAAAAUAAGUUUAUUUGAAAAGCAUUUUCCAAAAUAUUUAAAUCAAUCAUGAGAAAAUUAAAAAACAUUUUCUAGAAUGAGAGAUAAAAUGAGAAAAGUAAAAGAGAAAGUAAAGAUAUUUAAAAAAAAAGAAAAAAGAAAAGUCAAAGAUGAUUUUAUUUUUGGAGGAAAAUUUAGAUGGUUUUAUAGCGAGUCCGGAACCUAAAUAAGCCAAAAAAAAUAAAAGUGACCAAAAUAAGUCAUUAUUCUAGUAAGUAACUAAAAUAGGCUUAGUGGAAGAAAUUUUUUUGUUUUAUGCAAUAUUCCAAACGUUUUCUGUUAGUCUCAUAACGUGUAUAUUUUAAUAUAUAACAGAGCUGUUUCUUACACUUUGUAAAGUGUAUUUUUUUCUUACACUUUGUAAAGUGGAAGUUUUUCGUACACUUAAGUUGAGAUUGAUAGCUCAGCUUUAUUCUUAGAUUUUGUAUUUUUGCAUUACUUAAGCAUCCUCAUUUGUAGUAUCAGCAUAGAGUGUAUCAUAAACUCUAUGACGAUCACAGAAUAUCUAGUUUUCUCUAGCUCUUAUUUUCUUCAUGCUUGUUAAUUAGUAGAGGUUCGUUACCUCAUUAAGAUUAGUAAGGUAAGGCCUAGCCUCCCUUUCUUGUACUUUUCUCUUUAUUAAUAAAACUAGACCUAGGCACACAUUGCCUAGCGGAAUUGUUUUUUUAAAAAAAAACGUUUUUCUUACACUUUAUAAAGUGGAAGAAAGAAUUUUGUUUUACAAAGAGGAAUAUUUUUCACGUUUUGUAUUAAAUUGUAUCUCUUUAUGAAGCUUUUGAGUGUUUGUGAUACAAUUAUAUUGAUUUGACAUAUCAUUAAAACGGAAAAAAUUAUUACAUUAUGCAUUUUUAUUUUUUAUUCUGAAAGUUCUUCCAAGCUCUAUUUAAGGAAAAAACUAUUACAUUAUGUAUCAUAAGUGUUAACUUGAUUUGAUCUAUGUAGUCAUUUGGAAGUUGGAACCCUCAAAAAAUCGGUCAACGAUUCGUUACUAUAGAUAAUCCACUCUCCAAAAUUUACUUGUACUUGUGACAAAAAUGAAGUAGAGUAUUUUUCGACUAUAAUCAAAUUAUAAUCAGUACUAUUUAUACCCAUUUUUUUUAUAAAUUGAUGAAAGAAAUUUAUGAUAUCGGACAUUAAUUAAAUAUUUAACAUUAUGUUUGGGAAGACAAUUAUAAUAAACGGUAUUUUCGUCAUGUAUAAUUUCGCCAUCCCAAUAAAUCGAAACUGUUACUUUUGACUUAGAAGACAUUUUUUUUGUGAAUGAAAUGAAGAAAAAUAGAAGACUAAAGAUGUUGAAAGUGCUAUGUUUGAACGUCCUUAAAUAGAGCUUGAGGAGUUCUCAGAAUAAAAAUAUAAGUAUACAUAAUGUAAUAUUCCUCUUUGUAAAACAAAAAUUUUUCUUCCACUUUAUGAAGUGUGAGAAAAACUUCCACUUUACAAAGUGUAAGAAAAACUUCCGUUAUAUAUUAAAAUAUACACGUUAUGAGACUAACGGAAAACGUUUGAAAUAUUACAUAAAACAGAAUUUUUUCUUGCACUAAGCCUGUUUUAUUUACUUACUAGAAUAGUGGCUUAUUUUGAUCACUUUUAUUUUUUUGUGGCUUAUUUAGGUUCCGGACUCUUUUAUAGCCAAUAGGAUAUUGUGGUCUUUUAUCCUCUGUCGUGCCACAAAAAAGCAUCGUGCCAUUUAGUUUUACCGUAUUUUGUACGGUUGAACAAUAACUAAUAGCCAGUCCCAUUCAGAAGAAGACUUGACUUGAACCUGAUUGAGGAGGAAAGUUUUUUUCCCGAUAAAAAGGUGACAUGACUUGCUAUUCAAUUGUUAGCAACAAUUUGUAACAUUGCUGUUAAAAUUAUAAAAUGAAAGACAUUGACAUGUAAACGUUACAUGAUUAUCUGCUUACGGAUUGUUGCACAUGCGAACAUUUGAGCGAAUGAAAGGAGUGUUACAGGAACAGACGUUAGGAAAGUAAUAACACUGGGAAACAACUGAAUUUAGUAUUUUUAACAUGAAAAAUAGAUUAGUAUGUAAAACAAAUUGGUAACUUUUAAAACAAUAAUACAUACAUUUUGAACUUGUAAUUUUUAAAAUAUAAUGAUCGUUAAGUGGUAAAAUCUUAAUAGCUUAACCAGUCAAAUUAAAAUGUGGAUCCAGUUUACAAAGUUGCUGGAAAGGGUGUUACAAGUCAACAAAAGUUUGCUUUAUUUACUUACAGAUAUAAGUGUCAACAACACACCUAAACUGUACUUUUUUUUUAGUUUUAUAUCUAAAUUAUUGAGAGUGUAACUAUCACUUAUUAGUUUGAAAAAUACACAUCUCUCUUUUAUAACACUCUCAUCAUGUGUGUGUGAUACACUCUCUAUUUUACUUAAAAAAAUUGUCACAUCAUACUUCACAUGGACAAAACAUCUCAUCUUGGCAAAAAUUAAAUAAAUUAAGUAUUAGUUAAAAUUAAAGAUUAAAAAAUUAUUUUCCCAAAAAAUUAAUUUGUUUAUAAAAUAAAAUGUAAAUUUUUUUUUUACCCCACUCCAUCAAUUCCUCUCACCGUACCCUCCCCCUCCCCCCUCAUUUUUUAAGUUUAAAUUUCUUUUAUAAAAGUAUAUAAACUUUUUUUACUUCAUCUCCCCCCUCCCCCUCUACAAAUACUAAUUUAGCUAUCAUUUUAUUUUUUAAAAAUAAAAAUUCUACCCACUCCACCUAACCGUCCGCUUCCAAUUUUUUUCUCGUUUUGUGUUAGAUAUAUAUAUAUCAAAAAUAUGUUUUACUUGCUGCGGCAAGACUACUUUUAAAAUAAAUUUUUUAUUUAUGUUAUAUUCGGUAUGAAAAAAUUCCUAAAAAUAUAUGUACAUAUCAAACACAUAACGAGAAAAAUGUAAAAAUAAAUAAAUAAAUUAGUAAAUAGGAUGGAGUAGAAUUUUUAUUUUUUAAAAAUAAAAUAAUAUCAAUUUUUUUUGGGGGGAGGGGUGGGGGGAUGGCUGUGGUUUUCUUUUUUUGGGAGGGUGAAGUAUGAAUUUUUAUAAAUAUAUUAUAAAAGAUUAUUUAAAAAAUAAUAAUAAGAUUAUGGGGUGGAGGGGGGUGGAGGAGGGUGUACGGGGAGGAGGUAGUGAAGUGGAGUAAGAAAAAUAAUUUAAAUUUUAUUUUAAAAAAAACAUUUUUUUGGGGGAUAGUAAUACUUAAAUCUUUAAUUUUUUAUUAAUAUUAAUAGUUUAUUAUUUAAUUUUUGUCAAGGUGGAAUAUUUUAUCCAUGAGGAAUGUCACGUGUCAAGGUUUUUUUAAAAUAAAAUAGAGAGUGCAUUCUCAAAGUAAUAAGUGAUAGUUUAGAUAUGAAACUAAUUUUUUUUUAACUUAAGUGUGUUUUUGACACUUAUCUAUUACUUAUAGAAGUGGCAAAAUAGGUAUUUAAUACGAGUAUCCACUCAUAUUUACCCAUUUUAAAUGGGUUGGGUAUCCAACUCAUUUAAAAUAGGAAAAAUUAUAGAAAUCCCGCCUUUUAGUUUACUUAUAACCAUUAUCCCCAUAAUUUUUACAAAUCUCCAAAAUCCCUCAUUUUCGCGCAUCAGAUUAGUGUAUCUCGCGCAUCAGAUUAGUGUAUCAUGUAUAAAAUGUAAUGUAUCUUACUUAACGAUUAAUGUAUCUCGCGCAUCAGAUUAAUGUAUCAACGCUUAUAUUAUUGUAUUCGUUUGAGGGGUUUCUGUAAUUAUAAACUUUUAAGGGAUAGAUUGUAAUUUUGCCUUAAAAGUAUGUGAUUUAUGUAAUUUGCUCUUUAAAAAUGGGUAAAAACGAGUAAUACUCAAAUACCCAUUUAAAAGUGGGUAGUUAAAUGGGUAAUAUGGGUAAAAAAUGUUCAUUCAUAAAAAAAAAAAAGAAAAGUAAUUAGAGGUGGGUGGUAAAAAAAGCUUUUUAUUUUUUUUUAGAUAGNNNNNNNGGGGUUAGGGGGUGGGUGGGUUGGCGGGGGGAAGGGGGAGUCGGAGUAGUAAAAAAAUAAUAAUUUUUGAGGCGUUGGAGUUGGGGGUAGGGAUGGGGGUGGGCAGGUUAAAUUUAAAAGUUCUAAGUAUUUUUUUCGUGGGGUGUGGGGUGUGGGUUGAAGAGUAUAUUUUGCUUUUGAAGCUUUUAACAUGAUCCCUAUAAUAAUAUGGGUAAAUAUGGAUACUCAUAUUACCCAUUGAGGAACUCGUUUUUAUCCAUCUAAAAUAUGAGUUGAGUAGAGUAUUUUACCCAUUUUUAUUAACUCAUUUUCGAUCAACUCAUAUUCGACUCAACUUGCUAGUUUGCCACUCCUACUUAUACAUAAUACGAACAAGAAGAAGACUGAGGGAGUAGUAACAAGCAAACCGAUACAUAUAAUCUUUCUAUUAGCUUUGGCUUUGUUGAGAAAGCAAUGAUGGAAGAACAUAGACAAUAUUUUCGUAUCCUUUUCUUCAUUUAUCUUCUCUUCUGUUCUUCUCAAUUCGCUAUAUCCCAACGUUUAGUGAAUUUCAUUUCCGGUGUUCCCACUUUGUGGAUCAACAAACUUACUUAUACACCCAUCCUUCUGGAACGAAAUACUGGCCUACAAUUCCUCUACGGCUUCUCUUGCAAUUUCUAUCCGACAGAAUGCUUUCUUGGUAUCUCAUUAGUAGUUUACAACAGCACCGCUGGUGAGACCAUUUAUAUAGAGGGAGGACACUUAGUUUGGUCUGCUAAUCGAGACCGUCCAGAGAAAGCCAAUGCAACCUUGCAACUAGGCCAAGAUGGCAACUUGGUGUUCGCAGACUCUGAUAGCACUCUUGUUUGGUCCAGUAAUACCACUGGAAAAUCUGUUUCUGGCUUUAACUUGACAGAAACGGGGAAUCUCAUGCUCUUUGAUACGACCAACCGCACAGUUUGGCAGUCUUUUGAUCAUCCUACAGAUUGUUUGCUCCCCGGGAAGAAUUUGGUUUCUGGUCAGAACCUAACAGCAAACUGUUGGUGUUUUUUUAAAAAUGGGGCAGCACAAACAGAUUGAAAAUGUCUCUCAAUAGAUUGAAAUGACUUUCAAUAGCUUUCAAUGAAUUUAUUAAGCAUUGAGGGGCUUUAAAUAGCCAACAUAAAACACAUAUUCUGCAUAAUUUAAAAUUUAAACACCCUAAAAUAUCUCAACAACAUAAACAAACUAACUAAAAUUCAAAAUUCAAAUUAUUCAAACUAAAUAACUUAUUUUGCUAAAAGUUACUGCAGUAACUAAAAGCAAACUUCAACAAAGCAUUUCAGCAGACAAUUCGAGUCAAGGUUUAUUUUCUCUUACUGUUCUCAAUGGACGCUGGGCCACAUACAUAGAUUCUGAUCCACCUCAGUAUUACUACAGUUCAGAUAAUCCCGAUAGUCCUUAUUGGAGUUUUGAUGGUCAUAUCCUUACUGCUUUACAAUAUCCUUCUACAUCGAUAGCUCAAUACAUACAGCUUGGGCAUGAUGGACAUUUACGCAUAUAUCAAUUGGACAACCUUGAAAAUAAUAUGCUCUGCCUUAAUUGGAAAGAGGUAUGUGACAUUUUGACACUCUCUGACUGUGGCUACCCAAUGGUGUGUGGGAGAUACAACAUUUGUGCAAAUGAAGGACAAUGUACUUGUCCGGUUGAAGUCAACUUCUUCAGGCCAUUUUCUGAGAGGAAGCCAAAUCUCGGAGGCACUGAGCUGACGCCCAUUUCUUGUGACUCUUCACAGUAUCAUAGUCUUGUAGAGCUAAAGAAUACUGCAUAUUUUUCAUUUGAGUUCAGUCAUGAACUAAACUCGAGCGUAUUUUGGAUUGAGGGGAAAAAGAUUGAAGAUUGACAAAGGGCAUGUCUGAGUAACUGUUCUUGCAAAGCUGCUGUUUAUGAUCCGUAUCUGAAUAUGAGUCUAGGAGGGAACUGUUUGUUACUGAAUGAAGUCUUCUCUCUCAUGGACAUUGGAGUAGGAACAGCUUUUCUUAAGGUGCAGAAUUCCCCAAAUGCACCGGUCAUUUUCCCUAGACAGAAAAUGCCUUUCAAAGUUAUCAUGGGAUGUACUUUGAUUGGGAUAAUUUUGAUUCUUUCAGUUUGUUCUGCUCUUUCCAAAAAGAGAUCGGAGAAACGCAAAGCUGGUGAUUUUCUGGAUCUAGAACCAAUCUUACCGGGAAUCCUAAUUCGAUUCUCUUACAAUGAGCUGAAAAUAAUUACACAAGAUUUCAGCAUAAAGCUCGGGAAAGGAGGAUUUGGCUCUGUAUAUGAAGGAACACUGAGAAAUGGCACCAAAAUAGAUGUGAAGCAUCUGGAUGGAGUAGGUCAAGUAAAGGAAUCAUUCUUAACAGAAGUAAAGACAGUCGGUGGCAUUCACCAUAUCAAUCUGGUAAAACUCCUUGGAUAUUGUGCCGAAAAAAGCCACAGGCUUCUAAUCUAUGAGUAUACAUGGUGAAUGGAUCGAGGUGGAUCACGCAAGAAAAUGGGCUUACAUGGAACACAAGGCAGAGGAUAAUAUCAGAUAUUGCGAAAGGAUUAGCUUAUCUACAUGAGGAUUGCAGCCAUAAGAUAAUUCAUUUGGACAUUAAACCACAAAACAUCCUUAUAGAUCAAAAUUUCAAUGCUAAGAUAUCUGAUUUUGGUCUGUCGAAGCUAAUUGAGAAAGACAAAAGCAAAGUUGUGACUAGAAUGAGAGGAACGCCGGGGUAUAUAGCCCCUGAAUGGUUGAGCUCAAUAAUCACUGAAAAAGUUGAUGUGUAUGCUUUUGGAAUUGUGCUCUUGGAAACUCUCUGUGGACGAAAGAAUUUGGACUGGUCCCAAACUGAUGAAGAAGAUGUCCAUUUGCUAACUGUUUUUACGAGAAAAGCAGAACAAGAGCAGCUCACAGAUAUGGUUGACAGAAACGAAGAUAUGCAGCUCCACAGAGAAGCAGUGACAGAAAUGAUGAGCAUUGCUGCAUGGUGUCUACAGGGCGAUUUCUCCAAGAGACCAUCCAUGUCAUUGGUGGUUAAGGCACUCGAAGGUUUGGUGACUGUUGAAACCAACUUAGAUUAUAAUUUCAGAAAUGUACCUAAGGUUGGGGCAGGCAACCAACCGAGGGAAGCCGCUAUCAGCUCAAAAUUGCCAUCAGUUUUAUCGGGACCGAGGUAAACAAUGUCUAAUUCUAGCACAAAUUCUUAUGGUGUAUUACAUUACAAUUCAUGAAUGUAAUAUUCGGUAACUUUGCAUUA
rnacentral:lncRNA from 1 species